AUACGUAGGGGGCAAGCGUUGUCCGGAAUUAUUGGGCGUAAAGGGCGCGUAGGCGGUUAUGCAAGUCAGUUGGAAAAUACGUCGGCUCAACCGACGUGCCGUAACUGAUACUGCGUAGCUUGAGUGCAGGAGAGGAGAGUAGAAUUCCAAGUGUAGCAGUGAAAUGCGUAGAUAUUUGGAGGAAUACCAGUGGCGAAGGCGGCUCUCUGGACUGUAACUGACGCUGAGGCGCGAAAGCUGGGGGAGCAAACAGGAUUAGAUACCCUGGUAGUCCCAGCCGUAAACGAUGAACACUAGGUGUAGGGGGGUUCAUACCCUUCUGUGCCGGAGCAAACGCAAUAAGUGUUCCGCCUGGGGAGUACGGCCGCAAGGUUGAA
rnacentral:rRNA from 1 species